UACGUAGGGUGCAAGCGUUAAUCGGAAUUACUGGGCGUAAAGCGUGCGCAGGCGGUUAUGCAAGACAGAUGUGAAAUCCCCGGGCUCAACCUGGGAACUGCAUUUGUGACUGCAUGGCUGGAGUGCGGCAGAGGGGGAUGGAAUUCCGCGGUGUAAGCAGUGAAAUGCGUAGAUAUGCGGAGGAACACCGAUGGCGAAGGCAAUCCCCUGGGCCUGCACUGACGCUCAUGCACGAA
rnacentral:rRNA from 1 species